AUGUACAUUCCUACAACAUAGUGUUAAUGCACUAGAUCCCAUUAGAACUUUGCAGUUAAGCGCGCUCAGGCUAGAGUAGUAUUGGGAUGGGUGUCUGCCCAGGAAAUGCUAGUAUUUUACAUG
rnacentral:rRNA from 1 species